UACGUAGGCAGCGAGCGUUGUUCGGAGUUACUGGGCGUAAAGGGUGUGUAGGCGGUUGUUUAAGUUUGGUGUGAAAUCUCCCGGCUCAACUGGGAGGGUGCGCCGAAUACUGAGUGACUUGGAGUGCGGGAGAGGUGAGUGGAAUUCCUGGUGUAGCGGUGAAAUGCGUAGAUAUCAGGAGGAACACCGGUGGUGUAGACGGCUCACUGGACCGUAACUGACGCUGAGACACGAAAGCGUGGGUAGCAAACAGG
rnacentral:rRNA from 1 species